GCGCACGGGUGAGUACACGUGAGCAACCUGCCGGGAAGCCCGGGAUAGCCCUCCGAAAGGAGGAUUAAUACCGGAUGUGGCCACCCUGCGAUUGCAGGGGAAGCUAAAGGAUUAUUCACUUCCCGAGGGGCUCGCGGUCCAUCAGCUUGUUGGUGAGGGUAACGGCCCACCAAUGCGACAACGGGUAGCUGGUCUGAGAGGAUGGUCAGCCACACUGGAACUGAGACACGGUCCAGACACCUACGGGUGGCAGCAGUCGAGAAUCAUUCGCAAUGGGGGAAACCCUGACGAUGCGACGCCGCGUGGAGGAUGAAGGCCUUAGGGUUGUAAACUCCUGUCAAGAGGGAAUAAGCAAGUGAAGGUACCUCUAGAGGAAGGGGCGGCUAAUUCCGUGCCAGCAGCCGCGGUAACACGGAAGCCCCGAGCGUUGCUCGGAUUCAUUGGGCGUAAAGGGUGCGUAGGCGGCGCGGAAAGUCCGGCGUGAAAGGCAGAGGCUCAACCUCUGGACUGCGUUGGAUACUUCCGUGCUUGAGGACUGGAGGGGAGACUGGAAUUCACGGUGUAGCAGUGAAAUGCGUAGAUAUCGUGAGGGAGACCGGUGGCGAAGGCGAGUCUCUGGACAGAUCCUGACGCUGAGGCACGAAGGCUGGGGGAGCGAACAGGAUUAGAUACCCUGGUAGUCCCAGCAGUAAACGAUGUGAGCUUGAUGUGGGGGGAUUCGACCCCUUCCGUGUCAAAGCUAACGCGAUAAGCUCACCGCCUGAGGAGUACGGCCGCAAGGCUAAAACUCAAAGAAAUUGACGGGG
rnacentral:rRNA from 1 species